GACGAACGCUGGCGGCGUGCCUAAUACAUGCAAGUUGAGCGCUGAAGGUUGGUACUUGUACCAACUGGAUGAGCAGCGAACGGGUGAGUAACGCGUGGGGAAUCUGCCUUUGAGCGGGGGACAACAUUUGGAAACGAAUGCUAAUACCGCAUAAAAACUUUAAACACAAGUUUUAAGUUUGAAAGAUGCAAUUGCAUCACUCAAAGAUGAUCCCGCGUUGUAUUAGCUAGUUGGUGAGGUAAAGGCUCACCAAGGCGAUGAUACAUAGCCGACCUGAGAGGGUGAUCGGCCACAUUGGGACUGAGACGCGGCCCAAACUCCUACGGGAGGCAGCAGUAGGGAAUCUUCGGCAAUGGACGAAAGUCUGACCGAGCAACGCCGCGUGAGUGAAGAAGGGUUUCGGAUCGUAAAACUCUGUUGGUAGAGAAGAACGUUGGUGAGAGUGGAAAGCUCAUCAAGUGACGGUAACUACCCAGAAAGGGACGGCUAACUACGUG
rnacentral:rRNA from 1 species